AUUGAACGCUGGCGGCAGGCCUAACACAUGCAAGUCGAGCGAGCGGCGGACGGGUGAGUAAUGUCUGGGAAACUGCCUGAUGGAGGGGGAUAACUACUGGAAACGGUAGCUAAUACCGCAUACCAUCAGAUGUGCCCAGAUGGGAUUAGCUAGUAGGUGGGGUAAUGGCUCACCUAGGCGACGAUCCCUAGCUGGUCUGAGAGGAUGAUCAGCCACACGGGAACUGAGACACGGUCCAGACUCCUACGGGAGGCAGCAGUGGGGAAUAUUGCACAAUGGGCGCAAGCCUGAUGCAGCCAUGCCGCGUGUGUGAAGAAGGCCUUCGGGUUGUAAAGCACUUUCAGCGAGGAGGCGUUACGCGCAGAAGAAGCACCGGCUAACUCCGUGCCAGCAGCCGCGGUAAUUC
rnacentral:rRNA from 1 species